AAAGCCUACGGGAGGCAGCAGUGGGGAAUAUUGCACAAUGGGCGAAAGCCUGAUGCAGCAACGCCGCGUGAAGGAAGACGGUUUUCGGAUUGUAAACUUCUGUUCUUAGUGAAGAAUAAUGACGGUAACUAAGGAGCAAGCCACGGCUAACUACGUGCCAGCAGCCGCGGUAAUACGUAGGUGGCAAGCGUUGUCCGGAAUUACUGGGUGUAAAGGAUGCGUAGGCGGUUAAACAAGUUAUAUGUUAAAUAUAUAGGCUUAACCUGUAGAAAGCAUAUAAAACUGGUUAACUAGAGUGCAGGAGA
rnacentral:rRNA from 1 species